rnacentral:rRNA from 1 species
UACGUAGGGGGCAAGCGUUGUCCGGAAUCAUUGGGCGUAAAGCGCGUGUAGGCGGCUCGAUAAGUCUGCUGUGAAAGUCCAGGCUCAACCCUGGGAUGCCGGUGGAUACUGUCGAGCUCGAGUCCGGAAGAGGCGAGUGGAAUUCCUGGUGUAGCGGUGAAAUGCGCAGAUAUCAGGAGGAACACCAAUGGCGAAGGCAGCUCGCUGGGACGGUACUGACGCUGAGACGCGAAAGCGUGGGGAGCAAACGGG